rnacentral:lncRNA from 1 species
AUCUGGAGGCUUCCACAGCAGCCCAGUACCUUCCCCUUGUAUCAGCCAACUAUCCCAUCCUAUCCAGUAUCAGCCUGGUAAAUAUCCUAUGCCAAAUCAGCCUGUUCCAAUAACAUGGAAGCCAAAGCCAACUCCUUUGGCAAACUGCUCUCCUGGUCUAGAAUAUUUAGUUGGACAACAUGCAUGUUUUUCAGCAUUUGGAGCUCCUGUGAUGACACAUUUUGAAACUAAUAAUAGAAAUGAUGUUAAAAACAACUCAGACCAGAUGGUUUUCAUCAUAACUGAAGACACACAUAUCUUUACCAGGAAUGUGUAUUGGACAUUAAGGCCCUUCAUCCUCCAGAUCACUGAAUGCAUGGGCUGAAAAGUCAUGACCAUACAGAGACCUUUCAGAUGUACCUGCUGUUGCCCCUCUGCCAGGCAAGAGGUCAAA